rnacentral:rRNA from 1 species
AUUGAACGCUGGCGGCACGCCUAACACAUGCAAGUCGAGCGGCAGCGCGAUAUGUAGCAAUACAUAUUGGCGGCGAGCGGCGGACGGGUGAGGAACACGUAGGAACCUACCCUCGAGUGGGGGAUAACCAAGGGAAACCUUGGCUAAUACCGCAUGAUUUCGAGAGAGCAAAGCUGCCGCAAGGUGGCGCUCGAGGUGGGGCCUGCGUCCGAUUAGCUAGUUGGCGAGGUAAGAGCUCACUAAGGCGAUGAUCGGUAACUGGUCUGAGAGGACGACCAGUCACACUGGGACUGAGACACGGCCCAGACUCCUACGGGAGGCAGCAGUGGGGAAUAUUGGACAAUGGGGGCAACCCUGAUCCAGCGAUGCCGCGUGAGUGAGGAAGGCCUUCGGGUCGUAAAGCUCUUUAGGUUGGGAAGAAGAGUGAUGGAGGAAAUGCUAUCACUUUGACGGUACCGACAGAAUAAGCACCGGCAAACUCUGUGCCAGCAGCCGCGGUAA